rnacentral:rRNA from 1 species
GAUGAACGCUGGCGGCGUGCUUAACACAUGCAAGUCGAACGGAAAGGCCCAAGCUUGCUUGGGUACUCGAGUGGCGAACGGGUGAGUAACACGUGGGUGAUCUGCCCUGCACUUCGGGAUAAGCCUGGGAAACUGGGUCUAAUACCGGAUAGGACCACAUUUUGGAUGGUGUGGUGGAAAGUUUUUCGGUGUGGGAUGAGCUCGCGGCCUAUCAGCUUGUUGGUGGGGUAAUGGCCUACCAAGGCGUCGACGGGUAGCCGGCCUGAGAGGGUGUACGGCCAUAGUGGAACUGAGAUACGGCCCAGACUCCUACGGGAGGCAGCAGUGGGGAAUAUUGCACAAUGGGCGCAAGCCUGAUGCAGCGACGCCGCGUGGGGGAUGACGGCCUUCGGGUUGUAAACUCCUUUCGCUAGGGACGAAGCGUUAUGUGACGGUACCUGGAGAAGAAGCACCGGCUAACUACGUG